UCCAGACUCCUACGGGAGGCAGCAGUGGGGGAUAUUGCACAAUGGGGGGAACCCUGAUGCAGCGACGCCGCGUGGGUGAAGGAGCGUUUCGGCGCGUAAAGCCCUAUCGGCAGGGAAGAAGGAGGACGGUACCUGACUAAGAAGCCCCGGCUAACUACGUGCCAGCGGCCGCGGUAAUACGUAGGGGGCAAGCGUUAUCCGGAUUUACUGGGUGUAAAGGGGGCGCAGACGGCAGCGCAAGCCAGGAGUGAAAGCCCGGGGCCCAACCCCGGGACUGCUCUUGGAACUGCGCGGCUGGAGUGCAGGAGGGGCAGGCGGAAUUCCUGGUGUAGCGGUGAAAUGCGUAGAUAUCAGGAGGAACACCGGUGGCGAAGGCGGCCUGCUGGACUGCGACUGACGUUGAGGCCCGAAAGCGUGGGGAGCAAACAGGAUUAGAUACCCCAGUAGA
rnacentral:rRNA from 1 species